UCUCUGUUAGUAUAUCGGUUAGUACACGCGCCUGUCAUUCGUCGACGGUACGAGUGCGCGCGAAAGCGGGGUUCGACUCCCCGACAGAGAG